AUACGGAGGGGGUUAGCGUUGUUCGGAAUUACUGGGCGUAAAGCGCACGUAGGCGGACUGGAAAGUUGGGGGUGAAAUCCCGGGGCUCAACCCCGGAACUGCCUCCAAAACUUCCAAUCUAGAGAUCGAGAGAGGUAAGUGGAAUUCCUAGUGUAGAGGUGAAAUUCGUAGAUAUUAGGAGGAACACCAGUGGCGAAGGCGGCUUACUGGCUCGAUUCUGACGCUGAGGUGCGAAAGCGUGGGGAGCAAACAGGAUUAGAAACCCUAGUAGUCC
rnacentral:rRNA from 1 species